GGUUGCAUUUAUUAUUUUUGCUUUUCUGCAUUUGUAUGCCAUGUUUCUGUGACCUAAUGUAUGAUCAAUCUUUGUGAAUGUGCCAUGUGGUGCUGAGAAGAAGGUCUAUUCCUUUUUGUCCCUAUUUAUUAUUCUCCAUAUGUCUAUUAACUCAAAUUUUUCUAAGAUUUCAUUCACUUCUUUUACCUCUUUCUUAUUUAUUUUUUUAUUUGAUUUAUCUAAAUUUGAUAGUGGUUGAUUCAGGUCUCCCACUAAUAUGGUUUUACUGUCUAUUUCCUCCUUCAAUUCUCUUGGGUGCUAUACUAUUUGGUGCAUACUUGUUGAUUAGUGAUAUUUCCUCAUUAUCUAAGGUCCUUUUAACAAAAUAUAUUUACCUUCCCUAUCCCUUUCAAUCAGGUCUAUUUUUGCUUUGGCUUUGUCAGAUAUCAUGAUUGCAACUCCUUCCUUCUUUCUACAUGUUGAGGUCCAGAAGGUCUUACUCCAUCCUUUAAUUCUGACCUUCUGAGUGUCUACCCACCUCAUGUGUGUUUCUUGAAGAAAACAUAUGGUAGGGUUUUGGAUUCUAAUCUAUUCUAUUCUGCUAUUCAUCUACAUUUUAUGGGUGAGUUUAUCCCAUUCAUGUUCAAAGUUAUGAUUGUCACUUGUGGACUCCCUGGCAUUUUGAUAUCCUCCCCUAAUUCUGACCUUUUUUCUUUAGCUAUAACCUUUUGAGCCAGUGAUUUACUUUAAAUCAGUCCCCCUAGUCCCCUCCCUUGAUAUGUUUCCUUUUCUAACCCCUCCCUUUUUGUUCCCUUCCCCUCCCCCCUCUGCUUCCCUCCCUUUUUGUGUUCCCUCCCCCCUUAACCCUCUUGAUUUUCCCUUCUCCCUAACCCUGUUGGAUAAGAUAAAAGUCAAGAUCCCAAUGGAUCUGGAUGUUCUUCCCUCUCAGAGUUGAUUUCACUGAGAGAAAGGUUUAAGUAAAAACUCUCUUCCUCUCCUUCUUAUAAGAGAAUUCUCCACUCCCCCUUCCCAUGUGUAUCUUUGUGCAAGAAAGAUUAUUCUAUUUAGCUUUUUAUUUCUAUUUCUUGGAAUAUAUCUUAAUACCAUCAAUGAUUCCCCCCCUCCCUUUUUCUUUCUAUUCCCCCCUUUCUCCAUAUCAUCUUGAUGCCCCAAACUUUCCCUAUGCAUGAUUCUUCUUACUACUCUAAUGACUCAUACAAUUUUUGAGAGUUACACAUUACAUUUCCCCACAUAUUAAUAUAUAUAAAUUGAUAUAAAUGUAGUCCUUAUAGAAGAGAGUUUGAAUAAAAGUAAAAGAUAACAUUUUUCUCCUUUUCCCUUUCCUUCAUAUUUACCUUUUCAUGUUUCUCUUGCUCUUUGUGUUUGGAUGUAAAACUUUCCACAGAGCUCUGGUCUUUUCUUUACAAACACUUGGAAAUCUUGUAUUUUGUUGAAUGCCCAUAUUUUUCCCUGGAAGUAUAUAGUCAGUUUUGAUGGAUAGCUGAUUCUUGGUUGAAGACCCAGCUCUCUUGCUUUUCUGAAUAUCAUGUUCCAUGCCUUACGGUCAUUCAGAGUGGAAAUUGCUAGAUACUGUGUGACCCUGAUUGGUGUUCCUUUAUAUCUAAAUUGUCUUUUUCUGGCUUCUUGUAAGAUGUUUUCUUUUGCUUGGAAGCUUUGGAAUUUGGCAGUUACAUUCCCGGGAGUUGUCUUUUGGGGAUUUAGUGUAGAGGGUGUUCUGUGAACUCUUUCAAUGCAUAAUUUGUCCCCUUGUUCUAGAAUCUCUGGGCAGUUUCCUUUGAUGAUAUCAUGUAUUAUGAUAUCAAUAUUACUAUUUAUCUCUGGCUUUUCUGGUAGACCAACAAUUCUCAUAUUGUCUCUCCUUCCUCAGUUUUCCAGGUCUGUCACCUUGUCAGUGAAAUAUUUUAUGUUAUCUUCUAAUUCUUUAGUCCUUUGACUUUGCUUUAUUAAUUCUUGCUCUUUUGCAAGAUUAUUGUCUUCCAGUUGCCUGAUUCUGACCUUUAAAGACUGGUUUUCCUUUUCAUUUUGGUCUGACCUGUUUUUUGAGGCUUUGAGCUGUUUCUGCAUUUGCAUAUUUUGGUCUCUCAUAUUGUUGAGUUCCUUUUGCAUUGUUUCCCAAUUUUCCUGCCAGAAGGCUUCCAUCUUUUUGAUAAUUUCUGAUUUAAAUUCUUCAAGAGUUUAUGGAGAAUUCCCAUUUCCUUUGGAAGGUUUUGGAGCAUUUUUUUGUGUUUCCUCUUCUAUCUCCUCUGUAUUUUGUAUUUUUGCUCCAUAAAAUGUGUCCAAAGUCACCCCCUUCUUCUUGCUUUUCUUGGUGUUUGGAAGCUUUUGCACUUCUGUACUGUUUGCCAUCUCUAUGGUUUUUCUUCCCCUUUCCAGUCAGAAAUGUGAGUGAGGAGGACUUGCUCUUAGUGUAUCUGUUUGAUGGUCUGAGGCUUUAGCCCCAGGCAAAAUGUCCAUUCUCUGCAGUUGCACUUUCUUCCCAGGGAAGCCAUGGGUCUGUCCUUCCCUGCCUGCCGGCAUUUGCGUGUUACUGCUAUCAGUUCCCUCCAGUUGCUUCUCUGCUACCUUACUUCCAUGUUCUGAGCCUGGCACUGUCCAUAAGGUACCUCAGUGCCUUUUCUGGCCCUGAGCUUCCUGUCCUUUCAGAGGGUCCUGCACUCUAAGGGGGGGGGGGGGAGGUCCUGGCCUCCUUGAGCUCUGAGGGCUCCUGAUGGGAUUAUGUUCAGCUGGGUUGGUCUGGAUGUGCCCCAAAGCAAAAACCUCUGGUGAGACUCCAAUGGAAGGGCCCAGCCAGGGGGCUACAGGCUCCCCUGUCUCUCUCAGGCUGCUUCCCUGCUAUCUGUGUUGGAUGCCCCGAGAGUGACCCAGGUUGCUUUCAAGGUACGCCCUUCAGAGCAACACCUUUGCAGGCCCUGAGCUUCCUGUCCUUUCAGAAGGCCCUGCACUCUAAGGGGGGAGGGGUCCUGGCCUUCCUGAGCUCUUAGGACUCCUGAUGGGAUUAGGUUCAGCUGGGUUGAUCUGGAUGUGCCCCGAAGCAAAAACCUCUGGUGAGACUCCAAUGGAAGGACCCAGCCAGGGGGCUACAGGCUCCCCCCACCCCUGUCUCUUUCAGGCUGUUUCCCUGCCAUCUGUGUUGAGUGCCCCGAACUGGCCAAGGUUGCUUUCAAGGUGCACCCUUCAGAACAGCCAGCCCUGAGGCUCUUUUGCCGGCCCUGAGGUUCCCACUGCUGCUGCUGCGGGCUCAGUACUCUGGAUUGGGGAGAAGGGGUCCUGGGACCCUCCUUCUGCCUUCCCCUUAGACCUGAGUGAUCUAGGAUUCGGGCUUUUGGUGGGCAUACCUUUUGAUUUGAGUCCAGAAGGAGGGUUCAGCUCUGUCCUGUUGUUAAGUUUGAAUUUCAGUCCCCUAAGAGCAUUCAGUUUGUGAUUGGUAAGGAAGGGUUUUCAGAGGUUUAAAUUUUUGCUGCUUCUAAGCUGCCAUCUUGACCGGAAGUUCCCGGAACUAAGGAUUCUAUGAGGCAUAAAUGCAAAUGGAGAGCAUUUCAGGCCCAAAAUGCCUGUGCCCAAGUAAUGAGAGAAGAGAUAGAGUAUCAUGUAUAGGCAAUAGCACAUAGUUUGGUUUGGUUUGGUUUGAACACAGAGACUAUGAGGGGGUAAAAUGCAAAAAGCAGCCUGGAGCCAGAUUGCAAAGGGCUUUAAAUGUCAAAUAGAGAAGUUUGUCUUAGGACAUUUUUAACUUAGAGGCAAUAAAGAACUACAGAAGCUUUAAAAAAAUUUGUUUUAUUUUUUAAAAAUAUUUUUCCAUAUUUCCAUGAUACAUUUUCUUUCCCUCCCCUUUUCCCUCACCCCCUCCCAGAACUGGCAAGCAAUUCCACUGGAUUAUACAAAUGUUAUCACUUGGUACCUAUUUCCAUAUUAUUUACUUUUGCAGCGGAGCAGUCUUUUGAAACCAAAACCCCAAAUCAUAUACCCAUAUAAACAAGUAAUGUCAUGUUUUUUCUUCUGCUUUUCUACUCCCACAGUUCUUUCUCUCGAUGUAGAUAGCAUUCUUUCUCAUAAGUCAGUCAGGAUUGUCCUAGAUCAUUGCAUUGCUACUAGUAACAAAGUCCAUUACAUUUGAUCAUUCCACAAUGUUUGACUUUCUGUGUAGUGUUCUCUUCGUUCUGCUCAUUUUACUCUGCAUCAGUUCAUGGAAGUUCUUCCAAUUCAUGUAGAAAUUCUCCAGUUCAUCAUUCCUUACAGCACAGUAGUAUCCCAUCACCAUCAUAUACCACAAUUUGUUCAGCCAUUACCCAACCAAGAGACAGCCCUUCAUUUUCCAAUUUUUUACUACCACAAAGUACAUAUAUGAAUAUAUUCAUACAACCCUUUUUUAUGAUCUCUUUGGGACACAGACCUAGUAAUGGUAUUGUUGGAUCAAAGAACAUGCAUUCUUUUAAAGUCCUUUGGACAUAAUUCCAAAUUGCCUUCCAGACUGAAAUUUAGAAUUGGAUCAAUUCACAACUCCACCAGCAGUGUAUUAGUGUCCCAAUUUUGCCACAUCCCCUUCACUUUUAUUAUUUUCCUUUGCUGUCAUAUUGGUCAAUUUGCUAGGUGAUACCUCAGAGCUGUUUUGAUUUGCAUUCCUCUAAUCAGGAGGGAUUUAGAAUAUUUUUUCACAUGAUUAUUGAUAGUUUUGAUUUCUUCACCUGAAAACUGCCUAUUCAUAUCCUUUGACUAUUUAUUAAUUGGGGAAUGGCUUGAUUUCUUACAUAUUUGAUUUAGUUCCUUAUAUGUUUGGGAAAUCAGAUUUGUCAGAGAGUUUUGUUAUAAAUUUUUUUCCAAGUUUGUUCUUUUCCUUCUAAUUGUGGCUUCAUUAGUUAUGUUUAUACAAAACCUUUUUAAUUUAAUAUAAUAAAAACUACUCAUUUUACAUUUUGUAAUGUUCUCUAUCUCUUGUUUGGUCUUAAAUUCCUUCCUUUCCCACAGAUACAGAAGCUUUUUGAACAGAAGAAUGACAUAGUCAGAAGUACUCUAGAACUGGCAAUUUGUUAGCAUCCUGCUUGGUCUCUAUGCAAGCUGACAUACCUGAAGGAACUUGAAAGAGAGACGUGCAAUGGUCAAAGAUCCUGUAGUAGGUGGCAGCCAAGAGGAAGAGCAAGGAGGCUGUGUGGAGGUGGUUUCAGUGGAUAAAGUUCUGAGCCCAGAAUGGGAAAUACCCAAGUUGAAAUUCAACUUCAGGUACUUACUACCCAUGUGAUCCUUGACAAGUCAUUUAAACUUUGUGUGCCUUAAUAAAAAUAGCUAACAUUUAUAUAGAAUUUA